rnacentral:lncRNA from 1 species
GCUAAGGCAUGUGAGGAAUUAUUAACUACCUCUUCUUAAAGAGCUUCCCCGGGCAAGGAAAUAACAGCUUUUUUUUAAGCCACUGAGGAAGGGCAACUUCCAAAGAGUGGAAAGAACUCCCUAAGGCAAUGGCAGUCAGUGGAGAGUGCCUCAUAGAAGAAGAAUGGGAACCUUACAAGGAAAAUAACUGUCAAGCUAUCAACUGACUGAAAAUUCUUGUAGAACAUGUAUCUGAAAACCCACCUGUGUCCAGACUGUAUGAAUAACUCUCAAAACAGUAAGUAAACAAACAACCCAACAAAAAAUAGAAGCAAAUAGUUUCAACAGUCUUCACAAAGAAGAUACAAGGAUAGCAAGGAAACACAUGAGAAAAUGCUCAAUAACAUGAGUCAUAAUGGAAAAGUAAAUUAAGAUCACAAUCAGUACCAGUAUUUGCCCACUGAAAGACAAGAACAAAGAAAAGACCCAAAGCCAAGAACAAAAAGAUAAAGAAACACCAAAAAGAG